rnacentral:rRNA from 1 species
AGUCGAGCGGUAACAUUUCUAGCUUGCUAGAAGAUGACGAGCGGCGGACGGGUGAGUAACGCGUAGGAAUCUGCCUAGUAGUGGGGGACAACAUGUGGAAACGCAUGCUAAUACCGCAUACGCCCUACGGGGGAAAGGAGGGGAUCUUCGGACCUUUCGCUAUUAGAUGAGCCUGCGUGAGAUUAGCUAGUUGGUGAGGUAAAGGCUCACCAAGGCGACGAUCUCUAGCUGGUCUGAGAGGAUGAUCAGCCACACUGGGACUGAGACACGGCCCAGACUCCGACGGGAGGCAGCAGUGGGGAAUAUUGGACAAUGGGCGCAAGCCUGAUCCAGCCAUGCCGCGUGUGUGAAGAAGGCCUUAGGGUUGUAAAGCACUUUCAGGAGUGAGGAAGGGUGUACGGUUAAUACCCGUAUAUUUUGACGUUAGCUCCAGAAGAAGCACCGGCUAACUCUGUGCCAGCAGCCGCGGUAAUACAGAGGGUGCAAGCGGUAAUCGGAAUUACUGGGCGUAAAGCGCGCGUAGGUGGUUUGNUUAAGUCUGAUGUGAAAACCCAGGGCUCC